rnacentral:rRNA from 1 species
UACGUAGGGGGCAAGCGUUGUCCGGAAUCAUUGGGCGUAAAGCGCGUGUAGGCGGUUCGGUAAGUCGGCUGUGAAAGUCCAGGGCUCAACCCUGGGAUGCCGGUCGAUACUGCCGGACUAGAGUGCGGUAGGGGAGACUGGAAUUCCUGGUGUAGCGGUGGAAUGCGCAGAUAUCAGGAAGAACACCCGUGGCGAAGGCGGCUCUCUGGGACGGUACUGACGCUGAGACGCGAAAGCGUGGGGAGCGAACAGG